rnacentral:rRNA from 1 species
GUUAGGCUUGUAUUUAUUAGAUAACAGACCAAUUAAGUGGUGACUCAUAGUAACUGAUCGAAGCGUACGGGCUUGCCCACGCUAUAUCAUUCAAGUUUCUGCCCCAUCAGCUGUAGAUGGUAGUGUAUUGGACUACCAUGGCUUUCACGGGUAACGGAGGAUUAGGGUUCGAUUCCGGAGAGGGAGCCUGAGAAACGGCUACCACAUCUAAGGAAGGCAGCAGGCGCGUAAAUUACCCAAUACUGAUUCAGUGAGGUAGUG